rnacentral:lncRNA from 1 species
GGGUGAGCUAAUUAUAUAAAAAGCAUACAAUUAACAGUAUAAGACAUACAAAAGUAAACUUCAAUCAAGCAAGGUAAAACACAUACAUCCUAACAUGCUAUAUUCUAGACUUGACUCGUUCGGACUUUAGAAUGACAGUCAAGCUACGGUGGGUCUUGCAGUCGUGGUGGCUUAUGAUACUUGGGUUCCCCACCCUACCACACUCACGAGGUUAGCUUGUUCCGAGCCUUGAGGCAUACUGGAAGGCCCCAAGACUAAGACCUCCUACUACUCCUCACCACAUGGUUCAAUCCUCUCUACGUGAGAAGAAGGACCAUUUAUGUUUCAGGAUGACCCCCAAGAC